UUGUCAUCAUUCAACACAAUGGUAAUGUGUGAGAUGAGACCAUUAGAGUCGGGGCGUUAGUGAGUAAGGGGGGGCGGUGGGUUUCGUACAAACCACGCUUCAAGAUGGGCGUUUAUUAGAUACAAGGCGUUUAUUUCAUAGAAGGCGUUUAUUGGAUCAAUAAUAUAAGCAAGAAGGCUUUUCGGUAAAUAAUUUCCGACCAGAUGACCCAGAGUCGAUAACUUUGAAAAGACAAUUUUUCCAUUUGUCAUUUCCAUAAAAGAAAGGUUCAGAAACAGCUUUAAAUCUUCAAGGGCUAGAAGGAUGCUGCAUGGAAUUUAAAGCAAUACAUAAUAUUCAAGUGGAUGGAUCACCAAUCAUGUUUCCAUUUUUCCAGAAGAAAGUGGUUUAGAACGUAGAAGAGAUGUGGUUGUGGGAGUAAUUUCUUCACGAGCUCAUCAACUGAUGUGUCAUUUACUACUGAAUGCAACAGAGAGAUUCCAUGCAAUCAAGAAUUUUGAAACGUUAUGAGGUUAUAACAAGAGUUGACUGUAUCAAGAUACUAAAAGUUCAUCUUUAGUAUGAACUUAUUUGACAUACCAGCUAUUUUUUUGGGUCCAUUACUUGUGAAAAUUGGUCAGCAAAGCUCACAAUAGUAUCGUUAAGUAUUCUUAAGUGGUGUUUUUGCAACGUUGAACAAAUAUAUUUUCUCUUGUGUACAGUUAUCAAAAAUUCUUUCAUAUUUGGAUAAAGUCAUUUUGUUUUAGGUUUGUAUUCAACUCAAAUCCCAUGCAAUCACGGAAUCGGCGCUCGACUGACAGCGAUACUUCAAUGCCGGUGCAUGCCGGGAUAGGCCGGAGACCGCAUUGUGUUAACCAUGCUAUCUUACCAAACUCACUUUUACCGCAAUUCUACCUGGGUUAUCUUCUUUAUUUGAGUAAAUUGUACAAGAUCAAGUCAUACUUUCAGUCACGUGCAUUCCUUACUGUGUCAAUAAUUACACAUCAACCGGAUGCUCUAAUCAAUACAGCGGUUUAUGUUCCCCCGUUUGUAAACGGGUUGUGUGCCCUGAUUGUCCAUCGAGAUGAUGUGGAAAGAAUACGCUUAUACCAAAAAACAUAGAAAGAUAUCCACCGCCUGAUUUUCGGUGUUUUGGACAAUGAUUGCAGGCUUAAGUUGUUUUGGAAAACGUCUUACGUCGGCGAUAGCGAUUUGAUGAAAUAAAAUACAGUCGUCAUCUGUAUGGUGAAGUGCUUUUUUAUUAAACGACUUACACUCAAAGAAACUGAUAAAAAAAUAGAAAAUUAACAACCAUUUCAACCAGUGCAAGAUUACGCUGUGUCAUUUAAAAGAAUGAAAUGGCUAAUGAAAUGUAUAUGGGAUGCAAAUCCAUUGUAGUCAAAAUUUUAGGACUUACAAAUGUAUAAAACAACCUAUUUUAGUUAUGUAAAAAAAUGAAGAAUGCAUAUAAAUUAUAAAUUUAAUUUACAUUACUAGGCAAAGCUCUUGUCAAUGGAAUGUAUUUCCUUCAAGAUUUAAUAGAACAAAAAUUCGUUA